CAGUCGCCACGGUAAUACGGAAGGUCCAGGCGUUAUCCGGAUUUAUUGGGUUUAAAGGGAGCGUAGGCUGGAGAUUAAGUGUGUUGUGAAAUGUAGACGCUCAACGUCUGACUUGCAGCGCAUACUGGUUUCCUUGAGUACGCACAACGUUGGCGGAAUUCGUCGUGUAGCGGUGAAAUGCUUAGAUAUGACGAAGAACUCCGAUUGCGAAGGCAGCUGACGGGAGCGCAACUGACGCUUAAGCUCGAAGGUGCGGGUAUCAAACAGGAUUAGAUACCCCAGUAGUCCCUGUCUCUUAUAC
rnacentral:rRNA from 1 species